GCAAGGGCAGCUUACCAUGCAGUCGAGCGGAACGAUGGUAGCUUGCUACCAGGCGUCGAGCGGCGGACGGGUGAGUAAUACUUAGGAAUCUACCUAGUAGUGGGGGAUAGCACGGGGAAACUCGUAUUAAUACCGCAUACGACCUACGGGAGAAAGGGGGCAGUUUACUGCUCUCGCUAUUAGAUGAGCCUAAGUCGGAUUAGCUAGAUGGUGGGGUAAAGGCCUACCAUGGCGACGAUCUGUAGCUGGUCUGAGAGGAUGAUCAGCCACACCGGGACUGAGACACGGCCCGGACUCCUACGGGAGGCAGCAGUGGGGAAUAUUGGACAAUGGGGGAAACCCUGAUCCAGCCAUGCCGCGUGUGUGAAGAAGGCCUUUUGGUUGUAAAGCACUUUAAGCAGUGAAGAAGACUCUUCGGUUAAUACCCGGAGACGAUGACAUUAGCUGCAGAAUAAGCACCGGCUAACUCUGUGCCAGCAGCCGCGGUAAUACAGAGGGUGCAAGCGUUAAUCGGAAUUACUGGGCGUAAAGCGAGCGUAGGUGGCUUGAUAAGUCAGAUGUGAAAUCCCCGGGCUUAACCUGGGAACUGCAUCUGAAACUGUUAGGCUAGAGUAGGUGAGAGGGAAGUAGAAUUUCAGGUGUAGCGGUGAAAUGCGUAGAGAUCUGAAGGAAUACCGAUGGCGAAGGCAGCUUCCUGGCAUCAUACUGACACUGAGGCUCGAAAGCGUGGGUAGCAAACAGGAUUAGAUACCCUGGUAGUCCACGCCGUAAACGAUGUCUACUAGUCGUUGGGUCCCUUGAGGACUUAGUGACGCAGCUAACGCAAUAAGUAGACCGCCUGGGGGAGUACGGCCGCAAGGUUAAAACUCAAAUGAAUUGACGGGGGCCCGCACAAGCGGUGGAGCAUGUGGUUUAAUUCGAUGCAACGCGAAGAACCUUACCUGGUCUUGACAUAUCUAGAAUCCUGCAGAGAUGCGGGAGUGCCUUCGGGAAUUAGAAUACAGGUGCUGCAUGGCUGUCGUCAGCUCGUGUCGUGAGAUG
rnacentral:rRNA from 1 species